UACGGAGGGUGCAAGCGUUAAUCGGAAUUACUGGGCGUAAAGCGUGCGUAGGCGGUUCGUUAAGUCUGCUGUGAAAGCCCCGGGCUCAACCUGGGAAUGGCAGUGGAUACUGGCGAGCUAGAGUGUGAUAGAGGAUGGUGGAAUUCCCGGUGUAGCGGUGAAAUGCGUAGAGAUCGGGGAGGAACAUCAGUGGCGAAGGCGGCUACCUGGCCCAAUACUGACACUCAGGUGCGACAGCGUGGGGGAGCAAACAGG
rnacentral:rRNA from 1 species